ACAGGCGCAUCAUGACAACACCUUCAACGUGUUAAAAUGCAUUUGCUAGGUUUCAGAAUUCCAUGCACUCACAGUGGUUUGGCAUGCGUCUGGUAGAUUUUUUUUUUUUUAAGAAAAAUUAGUGUUGGUUUCGAUGUAUGGUAGCUUUUUCUCUAACGUAAUUUGAAUAAUUCAGCAAAGCCCCACUACCAGCUGUACUUCUGCAGCCUCUUCCAUUCUUUUCAGCAUUAUAAUUUUGGUUAAUUUUCAAUUUUAGGUCCUACGUCUCUGCAAUUUGUGUAUGAAUAACAGAAUAAUUUCCCUCUUUUGUUUCGCCUUUCCUGUUCCUGAAUCUAAAUAAAGAUGGCUUUUUAGUAUUAAAAGUGGAAGAAAAUUACAGGUAAUUAUCUUUGACGGUAAAAACGCUGUAAUCAGCGGGCUACAUGAAAAAUUACUCUAAUUAUGGCUGCAUUUAAGAGAAUGGAAAAAAACCUUCUUGUGGAUAAAAACCUUAAAUUGUCCCCAAUGUCUGCUUCAAAUUGGAUGGCACUGCAGCUGGAGGCUUUGUUCAGAAUUGAUCCUGGGGAGCUACGAACCCAAAGUUUCACAGUAGGAAGGGGGAAAAAAGAAAAGAAAACAUUUUUCCUAAUGUAACAAUGCGAAUGCUAGAAAAUGACAAGACUGAUCGGUUUUAAACCAUUCUGAGACUGACUGAGCGUGGAAGUUGCUCAACAAAAAAAGGAACGGGUAUAUUGGUCCCCUCCCUCAUCUCUCCUCAAUUAAGAGAAAAAAAUCCCCAGAGGUUGGUGCGACGGGAAGAGUACCAGCAUCGCUGCUCCCCAUUCUCUUUGGGGCUUCUGCCAUCUCCACCUCCGCCCCCCCCCCCCCCACGCCGGCCAUGUGGAUUUCUGUCCAAAGUGCAGGAGCGUUGGAUGGACCAAGAACUCUAUGGGCAGUAGAGCCGGUCACCAGUCAAGCCGGACGGCGCACUCCCAGGCACGAGCCCCGGCCGCUAAGAAGCCCAAGGCCAGCACCUGCAAGCCCGCCUGCGUGGGUGGGCGGCUGCUCCGCGGCUUCCAGCCCCCACCUCUCAGGAGAAGCGCCUGACUCAGGGAACGCCUGCAAGGAUGUCCUCUAAACCUCUCCAAGACCCCCAGUGAGGGCACGGAGACCCCAGAGAUCCAUCUCCUUGGAGCAGAAUGGCCUUUUCUGGAAAGGGAUCUCAGUGGGCGACAAAUAGCCACCAUUACGCCCUAAGCCUCCCGCGGGAAAGCUCCGAGUCUGGGCGCUGAGCUCUGGCAGACCCGCGUGCGGCGUCGCGCGGAGGACCGCGCCCACACGCGCUCCCGGAAUCGCAGUGAGCUCAUUCUCCCCGUUGCUGAGACAGAAGGAAAACCCACUUCUUUGGAGGAGCAUGACCUUUUCCUAUAUUGCUUCUCACUGGACUUCCUGAAUCCUGGCCCCAGACACCAUCAUCAAGAAGACCUUAUGGAUGGGCUACCUAUCCCCUGAGAGAAGAGGAACAUCAACGGCAGUUUCUAAAGAGAUUGCCUUCUUCAUUUCAAGUAAUGGCUGCAAUCAGGGUCAGAUUAAAGACAGACCAGCUGGACAACUGCUUGGAGGACCAACCUACGAGGGCACUAAAAUGUCCAUAGUAUGCUAACACGUACUUUAUAUUUCCGUGGAAAUAUAAAGAGAGGAAAAUGAUACUAGCACUAAUUUUAGGGAGAAGCCUGUCCUCUAGUAAAGAUCUGGCAAGUAGUAGUUUGAUGGAAACACUAAUUUAUUAGCCUACAUGUCUCUGCACUCUAGGGCUUGAAAAUGAAAACAUAAUCAGAGACUAUCUUCCAGUUCUAGGAUGUUAGCCCUUAUUAUAUCUUCAUUCACCUGGAGGUAAAUGUUAACUAACACAUUUAACUAACAUAGAUCAAAUCAAAUAGAGCUUGAACUCCCUGCCUAUGGGCUGGUUGAUUGGACUCUGUGUUGAGUUAAUUAGAUCAAUGGAGACACUGGGUGGAGUUGAGAUCUUUAAAAAUAUUUGGCUGAAGGGUGAUAUUACUGGGUAUUUGUAGAUGAGGACAUCAAAAAACAUUCUUAGAAUCAUGAAAUAUGGAACCGGUGGUCACAUUAAAAAUUUCAACUAGUAGUUAAGUACUUAUUGGACACCAGAGACUUAGGUAUAAGAUAGACAUGGUUCCUACAUCAAGGAGCUCACAUUCUAGAUUUCUCUUAGAUAUAAAGAGCAGUGGCCAUAGCAAACAACUGAACACAAAGGUAUUCUUGAGUCCAGGAUUCCAUUUAACAUAUUAAUUCCUAUUGCCUUAAUCAAGCCUAGUGAGCAUACAUUUAUAAGACUUACCAGUCUGCAUUCUAUAAAUGCUCUGUGAACCUGCCUAGAUUGUUUCCCUAGCAAGCUGCGUAAAGUCCCAUGGUGCCAGAGGAAGGGGGUAGGGUUAGUUAGAGAUUCUGGGGAGAGAGAUAUCAAGUGACAUGGGUCAGGAAAAAUGAAGAGAUAGAAUUUGGGAAGCAACUAUUGCUUCUGUUUCAUGUGGGGAAACUGUAGUGUGAAAAAUGCUAGGCUGGGAACUUUGAGACCUAGAUCUUUAUUCUAAUACAAACAAGCUGUGUGACUGUGGGCAGUCCACUUGGGGGCUUCUUGGGCCAUCCAAGACCCCUUCCAGCUCUAAAAAUGUUAACCUCAGGCCCCAGUCUACUGGACAACUGGCAAAUUUCUAACUCAGCUGUUCUCAAGCUGUUAGGUUAGUAGAUCUGCAACAGUCACUUGAUUGAUUGAUUUUUGGAGGAGUUUUUAUCAACCUUACAGGAUACAAUAAAUCUGCUUCUCCCCUUAGGAGUUGAGCAGGUUCUAGAAACACACCCUGUAGAGCUCAGAGAGGCUUUAUUCCUUCCUUUACCCUUUAUUCUCCUUCCUUUACCCUUUAUUCUAUCUGUGCCUCUCUCCCUCUCCUUUCCUUCAUCACACUUCCUUUGAGCAUAUACCACAUGAAAUGUACCAGGUGUGUGCUAGGUUUGGAGAUACAAGCUAAACUUGACAUUUCCCCACACUCCCACACUCCUUUCACAGGAGAGGGUACAAAACCCUCCUUGCUAUCAUCUGCUGGUGUUUCUUUUAGUGAGAAUCAGCCAUGUCCCAGGGGAGUGUGCUGGCGGUACUGCUGGGGUAAUGAGUUCUGGGCAGAUGUCCCAUUCUGCUCAAGCAGUUUUGAGGUGCCUUGACAUAUGCCCCUAGGCAAUCACUUAAACCCAGGGUCCAGAAAAAAAGGAAGAGACAAUCAUUUACUUAUUGGGAUAAAUCUGUAAAGGGACAGUCCUCUAUACAGUGAUGGCCACUGUCUGUCAUACCUCUUGCAACCCUCUCUGCCCAGGUGGGGAGAAUGUAGGUGAUUACUGCCUAAACUUAAAAAAAAAAAAAAAAACCUCUUUAAUAGAUAGACAUCUUUCAUUAUACUGUGCUUUAUAUUUCAUUAUGACCAGUGGCCUUUUUAAAUAUAUAUAUUUUAUAUUUUUCAAGAUCAGAUGGCUGAUAGGACUUAGAAGAGAAACAAAGAGCUUGGUAACUCACAUAAGUGGAAAGUUGACCAUGGAAUAACCGACAGCAUAUUCAAAUAUCUUAGUGAGUGCUAGAGGAGCUGCAGCAGAAAAGGAAACAUUCUGUCAACCAUCUCAUAUUUCCAAAUAUCUGGAUACUGGCCAUUGUGAAGACAAAAACUACAGAUGAUGGAUCUUUCCAACUCUCAUCUGCAUGGUCUGAAGUCUUGUAGCUCCAGCUGUUGACUCUAAGCCAAUUUACAUUUGUUUUCUUUAGCCCUCUUAAGAGAAAAUAAAAAUCUUAUUUUUCCAAGCAAUUAAAACUCUUCUGCUUCAGCUAGAAUGAAAGAAUUAGGAGUUAUUUCUCCUUGUGUAUAAUUGCAUGUUUCAUUUUUGUUGUUUAAUGAUUGACAGAAAACUGAUAAAUUGAGACAUCUUUGAAUCAGGUUGAAUGUACUCUCUUGGUGGCUCCAUUGCUAAUUUGUUUGACUAUUUCACAGCAUAUUUUGCUCUGUAAUGGAAAGGUUUAUUAAAUAUGAGGGGCGCAAAGCUGUCUGAAUACUAAUGAACUUAUUUGCCAAAAUUUAAAUGUUCCUUCUUAUUAGGAAAUGCCUGUCUCACUUAACAGGAUCCAAAUUGAAUAAUGAAGAAAAUUAAACUAUAUUGUAUCCUCAA